UGACCUGCUAAAUAGACGGGCUGACAUUUUUGUUGGCUUCAUUGUCUUCUUAGAGGGACUAUCAAACGUAUAGUUGAUGGAAGUUCGAGGCAAUAACAGGUCUGUGAUGCCCUUAGAUGUUCUGGGCUGCACGCGCGCUACACUGACAGAGACAGCGAGUAAACAACCUUGUCUGGAAAGACCGGGUAAACUUGUGAAACUCUGUCGUGCUGGGGAUAGAGCAUUGUAAUUUUUGCUCUUCAACGAGGAAUUCCUAGUAAGCGCAAGUCAUCAGCUUGCGUUGAUUACGUCCCUGCCCUUUGUACACACCGCCCGUCGCU
rnacentral:rRNA from 1 species